UGGUUCUCUGCACAUGAGGAGCUCGGGGUCCCGGGGGAGAGUCACACAGACGUGUUACAGAAGAUAACCAAGCGGGGCUUCUUUCUCUUUCUCUUUUUCUGUCUUUUUCUUUUUUGCUGUGGGAUCUUUGUUCCCAGACCAGAGAUCGAAGCUGCCCUGACUGCAGUGGACGUGCAGAGUACUGACCACUGGACUGCCAGGGGAAGUCCCCGCUGGGGCCUGUUUCUCAGCAAACCAAGCACACUGCGUCACGGCCCCGCAGCCCUGCGACAGGCGCUGUUAGCCCGCCUCGCGGACGAGGGCUCGGGAUCUCAGCCUGUCUCAUGGACGAGGACUUGGGAUCUCUGCGCGCUAACUGACCUCGCCCACAUUCCUAGUCUGACGAGCCCGGCCCCAGAUACUGAGCCACAGCAGAGCUAAGACAAAGGAGCGUGUGAGGGUCUCUUCACUUCUGCUGGGAACCUGAGCGCCGGGCACUUACCCUCUGCAGCUGUGCCAUCUGCCGUGGCAGCCACAGCCAGGUACGCUCUUUAAACUUAACGAGUAAACAUUGUAGUUCCUCAGUGUCAUUGGCCAUGUUUUACACGCUCAGUGGCCACACAGGGUCAACAGCCACCAGGAUGGACCGUGCUAACGUAGAACACUUUCAUGUGUCACAGCAAGUCACACUGACUAGGGCUACCCUAGGGUGAAAACAGCCUCUUCCGCACAGGAAAGAGGGCUGGGGCAGAGACUCUGCUCAGGUCACUAUUUCUGUCUGUGUUCCACAUGGUGCCAAGUGCCGCCACUGAAGACUCUUCACCUGUAGACGGGACCCCUAAGUGCGUCCAUUAGGGUUUUCAUAGCAUUAAGUUUGUUAUAACACAUGUUCAGGCCCUUAGUCAGCCUCAGGAAAUAGCAGCCACUAUUAGGGAACCGUCCCACACUGUUGUUAGGAGUAUAAACUGGUGUAGCCUUUAUGAAGAACAAUAUGAAGGCUCUUUGAAAAAUUAAAAAUAGAACUACCAUACGACUGAGCAAUCCCACUCCUAAGCAUAUACCCAGAGGAACCCAUAAUUCCAAAAAACACAUGCACCCCAUUGUUCACUGCAGCACCAUUUAUCAUAGCCAGGACAUGGAAGUAACCGAAAUGUUUACUGAUAGAGAAACGCAUAAAGAAGACGUGGCACAUAUACACAUUGGAAUAUUACUCAGCCAUAAAAAAGAAUGAAGUAAUGCCGUUUGCAGCAUGGAUGGCCCAGAGACUGUCACCCUAAGCGAAGUGAGUCAGACAAAGAAAGACAAAUGUAUGACAUCACUUAUGUCUGGGAUCUUAAAGAAGGGUACAAAGGAACUUAUUUACAAAACAGAAGUAAAGUCACAGAUGUAGGAAAUGAACGUAUAGUUCCCGAGGGGUUAGGGGAGUGAGGGAUAAACUUGG
rnacentral:lncRNA from 1 species